rnacentral:rRNA from 1 species
GAUGAACGCUGGCGGCGUGCCUAAUACAUGCAAGUCGAGCGAACAGACGAGGAGCUUGCUCCUCUGACGUUAGCGGCGGACGGGUGAGUAACACGUGGAUAACCUACCUAUAAGACUGGGAUAACUUCGGGAAACCGGAGCUAAUACCGGAUAAUAUAUUGAACCGCAUGGUUCAAUAGUGAAAGACGGUUUUGCUGUCACUUAUAGAUGGAUCCGCGCCGCAUUAGCUAGUUGGUAAGGUAACGGCUUACCAAGGCAACGAUGCGUAGCCGACCUGAGAGGGUGAUCGGCCACACUGGAACUGAGACACGGUCCAGACUCCUAAGGGAGGCAGCAGUAGGGAAUCUUCCGCAAUGGGCGAAAGCUUGACGGAGCAACGCCGCGUGAGUGAUGAAGGUCUUCGGAUCGUAAAACUCUGUUAUUAGGGAAGAACAAAUGUGUAAGUAACUAUGAACGUCUUGACGGUACCUAAUCAGAAAGCCACGGCUAACUACGUG